rnacentral:rRNA from 1 species
AGAACGAACGCUGGCGGCAUGCCUAAUACAUGCAAGUCGAACGAACUCUUCGGAGUUAGUGGCGCACGGGUGCGUAACGCGUGGGAAUCUGCCCCUUGGUUCGGAAUAACAGUUGGAAACGACUGCUAAUACCGGAUGAUGACGAAAGUCCAAAGAUUUAUCGCCAAGGGAUGAGCCCGCGUAGGAUUAGCUAGUUGGUGAGGUAAAGGCUCACCAAGGCAACGAUCCUUAGCUGGUCUGAGAGGAUGAUCAGCCACACUGGGACUGAGACACGGCCCAGACUCCUACGGGAGCAGCAGUAGGGAAUAUUGGACAAUGGGAC